UACGAAGGGUGCAAACGUUGCUCGGAAUUAUUGGGCGUAAAGCGCACGUAGGCAGCUCCGUAAGUCGGAUGUGAAAUCCCUGGGCUCAACCCAGGAACUGCGUCCGAUACUGGUUGGCUUGAAUCCGGGAGAGGGAUGUGGAAUUCCAGGUGUAGCGGUGAAAUGCGUAGAUAUCUGGAGGAACACCGGUGGCGAAGGCGGCAUCCUGGACCGGUAUUGACGCGUGAGGCGCGAAAGCCAGGGGAGCAAAGCGGG
rnacentral:rRNA from 1 species